rnacentral:rRNA from 1 species
CCUACGGGAGGCUGCAGUCGAGGAUCUUCGGCAAUGGGCGCAAGCCUGACCGAGCGACGCCGCGUGCGGGAUGAAGGCCUUCGGGUUGUAAACCGCUGUCAGAGAGGCGGAAAUAUUGGGGGGUUCUCCCCUCAGUUUGACCUAUUCUCAGAGGAAGUGCGGGCUAAGUCCGUGCCAGCAGCCGCGGUAACACGGACCGCACGAACGUUAUUCGGUAUCACUGGGCUUAAAGGGUGCGUAGGCGGCUUUGCAAGUUGGGUGUGAAAGCCCUCGGCUCAACCGAGGAAUUGCGCUCAAUACUGCCGAGCUCGAGAGAGACAGAGGUAAGCGGAACUGAUGGUGGAGCGGUGAAAUGCGUUGAUAUCAUCAGGAACACCGGUGGCGAAGGCGGCUUACUGGGUCUUUUCUGACGCUGAGGCACGAAAGCCAGGGGAGCGAAC